rnacentral:rRNA from 1 species
CCUACGGGUGGCAGCAGUGAGGAAUAUUGGUCAAUGGACGCAAGUCUGAACCAGCCAUGCCGCGUGCAGGAAGACGGCUCUAUGAGUUGUAAACUGCUUUUGUACGAGGGUAAACGCAGAUACGCGUCUCUGUCUGCAAGUCUCGUACGAAUACGGCUCGGCUAACUCCGUGCCAGCAGCCGCGGUAAUACGGAGGAUUCAAGCGUUAUCCGGAUUUAGUGGGUUUAAUGGGUGCGUAGGCGGUCGGAUAAGUUAGAGGUGAAAUCCCGAGGCUCAACUUCGGAAUUGCCUUUGAUACUGUGCGGCUAGAGAGCAGUUGCGGUAGGCGGAAUGUAUGGUGUAGCGGUGAAAUGCGUAGAGAUCAUACAGAACACCGAUUGCGAAGGCAGCUUACCAAGCUACUUCUGACGUUGAGGCACGAAAGCGUGGGGAGCAAACAGGAUUAGAUACCCCAGUAGUC